rnacentral:rRNA from 1 species
CACGUAGGCACCAAGCGUUGUCCGGAUUUAUUGGGCGUAAAGAGCUCGUAGGCGGUUGAGUAAGUCGGGUGUGAAAACUCUGGGCUUAACCCAGAGCCGCCACCCGAUACUGCUCUGACUUGAGUCUGGUAGGGGAGUGUGGAAUUCCCAGUGUAGCGGUGAAAUGCGCAGAUAUUGGGAGGAACACCAGUGGCGAAGGCGGCACUCUGGGCCAGUACUGACACUGAGGAGCGAAAGCGUGGGUAGCGAACAGG